GCAGAUUUUAUGGAAAAAAGAAAGAUAAGCAUGAUUUUCAUAAUUAACGAGUUUUUUUACUCUACUAAGUUGAUUGUUUCAAGGAUGUAAACAUCUCAGGAAUAUUUGAGUGAGUUUUCAGAGCUGAGCUUAAGUAUUUUCAUAGGAAAAACAGCUAAUUUAUAAAUGUACUCUGUAGUGGACGCCAGGACCUCGUGCUUAUAUUUGUUUCACAAUUUUUAGUAGACAGCUCAAUGACAGAGGCAGAGAGGAUUCUUAACAGAAUCAUUGAGGGAGAUUCAGGCAUAGAUCUUUCUGAGGAUGACAGUCCAUUGAGAGAGCAUGAGACAGGAGAGAGUGAACGCUCAGAUGACACAGAUGAGGAGGACCCAGAUUAGGUGGACCAAGCUGGAUGAAGCAUCCCGUCGUCCUCUAUGGGCAAAAACCAGCACGUUCAUGCCCAUGUUGGAGGAAUGUGGAAUUACAUCAGCUGAUUAUUCCCUAUACCGAAGAGACUGGAGCCCACUGCAGUACUUCCAGCAGUACAUUGAUGAUCAGUUAAUUCGGGAUCUGUCUUUCUUCACCAACCAGCACGUGGUACAGGAUUCAGGCUGUAGCUUGAACACAACACCAGAAGAGAUCAACACCUUUUUAGGAAUCUCAGUGUACAUGGCAUGCCUCGGAUAUCCAAGAAAGAAAAUGUACUGGGCACUUCACUGAUUUGGCCAUCACCAACUCCUGGAUUCAAUACAGACAAGACAGUCAGACCUUGCAACGACCUGCAAAGAAAACCUCCCAGUACCUGGAGUUCAAACUUCUCUUGGCUGAAGAACUGAUAUCCCAGGCCCAAGUAGGUCAACGAGAUGACACUGACUCAAGUGAUCAAGAAUUCUUUCUGGAAAUCAAGAAAAGGAAGCCCCAUCCAGAUACAAGAAUAAGGAAAUAUGGUGCAAUUCAUUUGUCCCAAAUGCUUCCAGAUGCAGAAUGCCUGGAUGCAAACGCAAAACCUUUGUGAGAUGCAUAAAAUGCUGCAUGUUCCUCUGUGUCUCCAAACAGUCAGAUUGUUUCAUGAAAUACCAUCUAGAGUCAAAUAUCUAAUCAAAUUAUAAAGAAUUUUAGGUGAAAUGUUGUAGAUGUUCCAUUAUUCUGGGUUAAUUACAUUUGCUAUUGUUUUUGUACAUGGUAUUCUAUUUUCCUAGAUGAUUUCAGUAGAUAUUUCCAUAUACAUACUCGGCUUUUAAAAGUUUAACACUUGAGAACCAUGAAAUCCCAUUGUCCACUACAGUGGACAUGUUGUAAAAUUUUAAUAAAAAUAAGUUUUAACAUUUU